GUUUUUUAGUUUUAGUCAUAGCUUAAAACUCAUCUAAAUCAUUGGUUGCACUUAGAUUAAGUGAGUACUUGCAUUCUCAUUGCUUUGAUAUCCCUCAGAACUGGUUCGACAAUCACUAUACUACAACAUUUGUCUUAGGAGCUUGAAAACUCUUAACAUCAGGAUGCACCUGAGUUUUAUCGCUAACAACAUGUUCAAGAAGAUAGUAACAUGUUACAGACCUUUAAUUUCAGGGAGAGUUUUUUGACCAAAUCUGUGGGCAUGUAAUUGUUAUUUACUUGAACAACUGUCUCCUUCCAAGGUCCAAUCCUGACAACAUAUUGCUUAAUGUAAUUGCGAUACACAUCUGAUGUGAUCUCUGUGUAGGUCUAGAUAAUAUUUGCAUGAAAGUUGAUCAAUCACUUUAGCAAAAUUAGUUAUCGCUGACUGUAGUGCACUGUUGAGGAUGAGGAAGUUUUCUUGCAUAAUGCAUAUAAUUAAAGAUUCGUUGAAGUUGAUAAUGCUAAGCACGCCACAAAUCGUCAUCUGAUAUGAGUAUUUUUAUCCACAAAUUGACUUUGUAAAUAUAUAUUCUUUUGCAACUUGGGUUUUCCAAUUCCUCUGUCAAACAGCAGGUUUAAUGCUUCUAACCAUGGAUAUAUUUCGGGAACAGUCCCCACUUUUUAAGUUUUUGAUUAUAUGUUUUUUUGGCUCAAACCAAUGGAAAGGAAGGUGCUCUUGAGUCAAACCCUGAUUUGUGUGAUAUUACUGUUGGGACAGCUACAUGGAUACAAAAGCUGUAUUCAGAAAGAAAGGAAAGCUUUGUUUGAGCUCAAGCAAUACCUGAUCUCAAUUAGUGUUGAAUGGGCCCUCGACUCUGUUCUCCCUACUUGGACCAAUGACUCAAAGAGCGAUUGCUGCCGGUGGGAUGGCAUUAAGUGCAAUCAUACAGGCGGACGGGUUAUCGGAAUUUUCAUUUCAAAGACAAGCUUCAAAGAGAGGUCUCCUUUAAAUCUUUAUUUGCUGCAUCCUUUUGAAGAUGUUCGAAUUCUGAACUUUUCGGGGAGAUCCAACCAAUUCAGUGGUUUGUUUGGGGCUUUUCACCUGUUUUUUUCCAGUGUGUUAGUUUAUCCUUGUGUUCUCUGUUUGGAAACAUUUUUCCCUGCAUUGGAAAUUAAAAUUCUGGAAGGGCUAUAUCUUAUUUAUUUGUUCUAGUUCUUAGAAGUUAACGCCGUUUAAAACUAAGUAAAUUAGAUUUUCCCCAUGCAUCAGAAGGACAUAGUACCUUUUCUGUAUUAACCAAUCUGUUGAUGUGCAGUAUCUUCCAAAAGUAGAAAUAUUUUUACACUCUUAAUUCCACUUGUAUAUACUGAGUAAACUAAAAAGUAGAGUACUUCUGUACAUGUUGUUAACAAGACUCUUGUUUGCAGGUUAUAACAGCCUUAGAAGAUUAAGAAAGUUAGAGAUUCUGGAUCUAUCCUCAAAUAGUUUCAACAGUAGCAUAUUUCCCUUUCUCAACGCUGCUACAUCUCUUACAACCCUUGUUAUUCAGAAUAACUUCCAUGAAUGGCUCUUUGCCUUUUAAAGAACUGAAAGACUUGACAAACUUGGAACUGCUUGAUCUGAGUGAAAAUAUGUUUACUGGUCCCAUGCAAGGUAGCAGCUAUAUCAAUUUUCUUCAAAGUAGAAGUUUAACAGAUUUAACUCCGUUCAAAAUUGUGAAUUGGUUCAAGCCAACUCAAAAAUCAUCUUAUCCAUAUUAAUAUAAAAGGUGUCUUGGUUUGCGUCUCUUUUUCUACUGGUAGAGUGUGCUCACAUGAAAAAACUGAAAGCUCUGGAUCUAAGUUUCAAUGAUUUUUCUAGCUCAAUGGAAUUGCAAGGCAAGCAUGUUCCCUUCUAACCUUUUUUUUUAUUAGGGAUGGAGAUGAAUAUCUUAUUUACUUUCAUAUUGUAAGGUAAAAACUUGUGGCCUUUACUUUUUUUAGAACUAAAGAAUCUGACUAACUUGGAAGUCCUUGGUCUUGCAUGGAAUUAUUUAGGCGAACCAAUACCAAUAGAAGGUGAUAUGUGUUUGAUUUACCUAUGUGAGCAACAUAGAAACUACUCUGGUUACUCAUCAUAUAUAUUGUUGUUUUCUGAACCUUUUUUGCAGUUUUUUGUGAAAUGAAGAAUCUGCGAGAACUUGAUCUUAGUGGGAACAAUUUUGUAGGUCAGCUUCCUCCAUGUUUAGGUAGCUUGAACAAGCUACGGUUUCUUGACCUCUCAUCAAACCUAUUAAGUGGAAAUCUACCAUCUAGUUUCAGUAGCCUCCAGUCUCUCGAAUAUCUAUCGUUAGCAGAUAAUAACUGCACAGGCUUAUUUUCGUUCAGUCCACUUGCUAAUCUAACAAAGCUCAAGGUGUUCAAACUUUCUCGUACUUCUGUUCUUCGAUUGUUUUUGUCGUCGAGCAUGGAUCCAUCAUGUCGAUGCUUUCAUCGCCUCAGCAAAAAGUCUUUUUUCUUAAAAUCACGACAACUCAGUGCUUUUCUUAUUCAAGUUUGUUGCUUGAAUACAUUGUGUUCCUGUAAGUGUAUGUUGGGAUUUUGAUUAAUAUGUAUGGAAGUCUUUUUUUCUUAAAAUUAAUCAUCUGACUAGUUAAAACUAGCGCUAAGUAAACGAUUCGUGGCUAACGCUGGAAGUUUUCAGCAGAUCAAGAAAUAGUAUUUUCUCCAUCUUAUUUUCCUUAGCUUAAUUCUUUCAAAUAUAAGUUAUUGUCUAUCUAUUUAUAGAGAGUUUACCUUUCGUCUUUGUUAUCUGUGCACAAAUCUUCGUUGAAGUCGAUGUAUAAUUAUGUUUUUCAAACAAAAAAAGCUGAUGAAUAAUGAUGCGCACGUCACCACUUUGUCAUAUAAUAUGAGUAUUUUUCCUCCAGGGAAAAUUAACUUAUAAGUAAAUGUUAUAAAAUCAUGCAACUUGAUUUAUCCAGUCCCUCUUUGUCAAACAAAACAUUGGAGACAUUUGGAUAUUUACCUUACAUACAAUCUCUUAAUCUGUUUUUCGUUUUUUGCUUAAACCAAUGAAAGGGAAUGUGUUCGUGGGACAAUACUUAAUAUGUGUGAUGUUACUGUUGGGGCUACUACAUGGAUGCAAAAGCUGUAUUGAGAAAGAAAGAAAGGCACUCUUGGAGCUCAAGAAAUACAUACUUUUGAGGGCUGAAGAAGGAUCCGACUUUAUUCUGAAUACUUGGACUAAUGACACAAAGAGCAAUUGCUGCCUGUGGGAGGGCAUUGAGUGUAAUCAAAUAAGUCUGCGGAUUAUAAAGAUAUCCACCGGUAAAUCUUCCGUGGUAGAGGAUUCUGUCCUAGAUCUUUCUUUGCUGAAUCCCUUUGAAGAAGUUCGUAGUCUGGACUUAUCCGGGGAUGGAGCUAUCGGAUUCAGUGGCUUGUUCGAUGAUCUGGAAGGUAUACCAUGUUUCUCCAAUGUUAGAUUUAUUUUAUGGUCGCCAUUAGGAGUUAGUUCUCCUGUUUUUUUUUUAAGAAUCUAGAUAGCAGAUGGGCUACUUCUAGUUCUUGAAAGUUAGUAGGGUUCAAAGCUAUUGCGGUUAGAUUUUUUUGUUUGGAACUCUUUGUGCAUUGACCUGCUUUGUUAACAAGAUUAUUGUUCUGCAGGUUAUAAAAGCCGAAGCAGAUUACAAAAUCUAGAAUUUCUGGAUUUCUCUGCAAAUACAUUCAACAACAGCAUCUUUCCCUUUCUUAAUGCCGCUACGUCAGUUAAAACUUUGAUUCUUCAGUUCAACGUAAUGUAUGGUCCACUUCCUCUUAAAGAACUUAUAAACUUGACGAGCUUGGAAACGCUAAAUCUAAGUGAAAACAAUUUUAACAGCUGCUUCAUACCAGUAGAAGAGUCUCAUCACUUGAAAGAGCUGAAAGCACUGGAUAUAAGUGAUAACGGAUUCUCUGACCCUGUGGAAGUUCAAGGCAAGUUUGCUUAGUUUUUAUUCAGAUUUUAAAUUAAGAACCUAGGUGAAUUGAAGUCUAUUUUUUUCUUCUAUUUUUUAAUUGGCAAUCACAGGACUCUGUAACUUGAAAAAUCUACAAGAGCUAGAUAUCAGCCAUAAUGAACUUGCGGGCCAGUUUCCUUUAUGUAUAGCUAGCUUAACUGGACUUAGAGUUCUUGAUCUCUCAUCAAAUCAACUCUCUGGUGAGGUACCACCUGCUCUUAGUAACCUUGAAUCUCUCGAGUAUUUAUCCCUGGUUGAUAACAACUUCGAAGGCUUCUUCUCACUUGCUUCGCUCGCUAACAAUACAAAGCUUAAAGUGGUUACACUUAGCUCAAAAUCCAAUUCACUGCAAGUAGACAUGGUAACUUCUUGGAAACCAAAAUUCCAGCUGAGUGUUAUCUCACUACGGUCGUGCAACUUGAAGGAGGUUCCUGGAUUUCUACUGUACCAGAAAGAAUUGCGCCAAGUUGAUCUUUCCAACAAUAUAAUUUCCGGAAUGUUUCCUUCUUGGCUGUUGGAGAACAAUACCAAACUUGAGGUUUUGCUUCUGAAAAAUAAUUCAUUUAGCAGCUUUGGGCUACCGAAAGCUGCUCACAAAAUGUUGUUCUUGGAUGUGUCAGUUAAUGAGUUCAACCAACUCUUUCCUGAGAACAUUGGAUGGAUUCUUCCUAACCUACGACAUAUGAAUCUAUCAGAGAACAAUUUUCAAGGAAAUCUUCCAUCUUCUCUGGGUAACAUGGAAAGUAUGCAUUUUCUUGAUGUAUCUCACAACAGUUUCAACGGGAAGCUAUGAUAUUCCGUGUUUUUAACGGUUUUAAACUUGUUUUGAGGCAAUUAAAUGGUCGGUUUUAAUUAAUGUUUUGGUCUAUUUGAUGCGUUUUGGUGUUCUUAAGUGUAAUAUGCAGGUUACUAGAUAGCUUGCAAGAAAAGAACGCAUUCGAGAUUUAUUCAGAAGCAAGAUGGACCGAACAAUGGACCGAAUGAGAAGUAUUGAUCGCACAUGACAUAGAUCGACCGAUCCAUUUUCUGUAGAUCGACCGAUCCAGAGCUAAGAAGAAAAGCCGUGAAUUGUAGCGACAUGCGUAGCGACCAGAACUUGUCGCUACGGUUUCAUGCACUAGAUCGACCGAUCCUACCACUGAGGAUCGACCGAUCUCACACUCUACGGGCUCCACACGCACCAAUGAGCUUUUCACUCCUUUUUACCCACUCCCUUCAAUAAUGGACGAGGAGAGAGGACUUUUGGGACUCAAAAAAAAGAUUGGAGACGACCAAGAAGGAGAUUUACAAGUUCUUGAGAGAGAUUUGAGAGUUUUGUAACUUGUUUUGUGUGAUUUGUGAAGAUUUGUAAAGGAGUUCAUCUCAAAACCAUUUGGAGAAGAUCUUCUGAACC